CCAUGCAUGCAGCCCGCCCUCCCUCUGGAGACACCAGGACCGGGUGCGCACUGCGCAGCGGAGAGGAGAAGCGUCCUUUCUCUGCUCUAAUCCCUGUCCUCACCACUGCGCUGUCACACCACCGCCUCAUAGGUGACCUGGAACCCGGAGGAUUGCUCGCUGCUCACUUCUUUGGCUUUCUGCAGGAAGAAGACAAGUUGUUGUUGUUGUUUUUUUAACUUUUUGGCAGGUCUGUGGGAACCAGAAAAUAAUAAAAAAAGAGAUUUGCGCGCAGCACCCGCAACGUAUAUAAAUAGGUUGUGUGCGUCAGAAGAUAAACAUUUGAACUAGUUUUCUUUCAUUCACCGCUGUCAGCCACGUCUGACGCGCCAUGUGGACGCUCAGUUGACAAGCAGCACAUGGCGCCUUGUUAUGGACAGAUUUGUGGAGUCCACGUCUAAUGGCUUCUCCGACGUCAGAUUCUUCCACCUGAGUUGCGGUUGUCUGCAGCCCCUCCAUGGACUAUGGACCUCCUGGAUUAAGACUGACUUUUCUCCACCUUUCGAUUAGGGCGAGAUGGCCCGUGAGACGUUCAAAGCUUGAGAUGCAUGGAUCUACGAGGAGGAGAGCUGCCGCGAUUCAUCCCGAGAACACGUUUACUUCCUUGCUUUCGAGAAUCUUCCUCUCAGAUCAGGACUACAUGGUGGAGACUAGCCAGGCUCCCUCUCCCUGCUUUCCCUCCUGCUCUGGGAAUGUGGGAACAGCAGAUGAGUAGAUCUACAGUGGCCACUAAAGGCUGCGGCGCACACUCGCAUGGGAUCCUUCCUAAUGUAGGCCAGGCCGGUCUGAAUGGACGGGAGAAAAAAGCAGCACAACGAGGCCGAGAGCUCAAUGAAGACUACCUGAUGUGUUGCUGAAACCGUGACAUGCGGAUGGAGGCAAUGAUCCAGCCGACCCCCUUCACCCCCAGCGCCGCCGCCGCCGCCGCUCCUCGCUGCAUGUUGCGGAGCAGGUGAGAAGCAUUAACAGAGGCAGCAGCUGUGGCUCUGCGCUCGACACAUGUGGGCCGGGGAUGUUGAGCUGUUGUUGAGUUCAGCCACUCUCUCGGUAAGGUUAACACGCUUGUCUUGCAAACAGAGAAAACGGCUCUAAGAAACAAGAAACCCUACGGAGCAUUUUGCAUGUCACGCCGUUUUCACAACGCCUGGCAGACGUACUCGUUCCUCUUAAAACUUUAACGCUUUUUUCAUGUUACAAACCCAGACAAUGUAAUCUUAUGAGCUUUAGGCCAACACAAAGUCAUGCACUAUUUGUAUUUAUUUAAUUAGUAAAUAGGUCCAGCUGUGUGCCACAAGCCCUGUAGGGGACAUCAUAAACACGUGGUAUGCUGGUCAGGUGAGACCAAUGGUGACCUUUCUGGCCUGGAUAACAAAGCACUGUACGUGGUGGUAAGCUAAUAUUACACAUCUCAAUGAACUCAGCCACUCUGAAUCAUGGUAGUGCGCAGCAUGAUGCUGUGGGGACACCGUUCUUCCACAGGGACUGGGAAUCUGGUCCAGGUUGGUGGUAAGAUAGAAAACACUAUUCACAAGACAAUCCAGGAGCUGGCUCAGAAAGGCUGAAGCGACAAUGAAAUGGUUUAGAUUUUACACGUUUUCAGGUGAGUGGCCUAGUCAAAGUCCAGACCUAAUUUCAACUGAGAAUCUGUAGCAAGACGUAUAAGUUGCUUGCCAAAACACUCUCCAUGCAACCUAGCUGACUAUUGUGCAAAGAAGAAUGGGAGACAAACGUCUGCGUCUAGUUUAACAAAGCCCGGCAGAGACAAACCCCCAAAAGGCUUUGGGUUGUAAUCGAAGAGAACGGUGGCUCUUAAAUACUGGCUCAUGAGGUGGUGUGUGAAAAUGUGUGUCUCACUUUAACAUGUUUGAUUUAGAAUUGAAAACCCUGCAACACUGACCUUCACUGUUAAGCACAACCUUAGGCCUGUUCUUACAGCACAAUGCUCCCACUACCAUGCUUUAAAGUGGAAAUCUUGAGUUCAGAGGGAUGUGUACUUAGCAUUUUUCACUACAUAGGCCUAAAAGUUCAGUUUUGUUCUCACCUAACCAGAGCACGUCCUUCCACAAGUUUGCUAUGUCCCUUAUCUGGCUUGCGGAAUACUACAGUCAUGACUUCCUCUAACUUUAUUUUGAUAUAUUGAUGUAUGUAAAGUGAAAUUCCAAACUUCCUAAUCGUCCAGCAAGGAGAUCUCUGAAUAGGUUUCACUGAAUUGUAUUUAGAGGAAUCUGAGUACGGGCGGCUGAAUAAAAAUGCUUACUUACA